rnacentral:rRNA from 1 species
UACGUAGGGUGCGAGCAUUGUCCGGAAUUAUUGGGCGUAAAGAGCUCGUAGGCGGCCUGUCGCGUCGGAUGUGAAAGCCCGGGGCUUAACCCCGGGUCUGCAUUCGAUACGGGCAGGCUGGAGUUCGGUAGGGGAGAUCGGAAUUCCUGGUGUAGCGGUGGAAUGCGCAGAUAUCAGGAGGAACACCGGUGGCGAAGGCGGUUCUCUGGGCCUGUACUGACGCUGAGGCACGAAAGCGUGGGGAGCAAACAGG